rnacentral:rRNA from 1 species
AGGAUCAUUAUUGAAAUAAACCUGAUAAGUUGUUGCUGGUUCUCUAGGGAGCAUGUGCACACUUAUCAUCUUUGUAUCUUCACCUGUGCACAUUUUGUAGACCUGAGUAUCUCUCUGAAUGCUUUAUGGCACUCAGGAUUGAGAGUUGACUUUUUGUCUCUUCUUAUAUUCUCAGGUCUAUGUUUUUCAUAUACCCCAAUGUAUGUUUAUAGAAUGUAAUUAAUAGGCCUUUGUGCCUAUAAACCUUUACAACUUUCAGCAACGGAUCUCUUGGCUCUCGCAUCGAUGAAGAACGCAGCGAAAUGCGAUAAGUAAUGUGAAUUGCAGAAUUCAGUGAAUCAUCGAAUCUUUGAACGCACCUUGCGCUCCUUGGUAUUCCGAGGAGCAUGCCUGUUUGAGUGUCAUUAAUAAUAUCAACCUCUUUGGUUGGAUGUGGGUUUGCUGGCCUUUUUGAGGUCAGCUCCCCUUAAAUGCAUUAGCGGACAACAUUUUGCCAACUGUUCUUUGGUGUGAUAAUUAUCUACGCCAUUGAUGUGAAGCAAAGGUUCGGCUUCUAACAGUCCAUUGACUUGGACAAACUCUCUUCUUAUUAAUGUGACCUCAAAUCAGGUAGGACUACCCGCUGAACUUAA